AACGCACGAGACCUGCGGACCUGCGGAGGGAUCAUUACAAAAGUUAUACACUUGGGGAACGGACUCGUCUUUCGGGACUUGAGGCCUGACUCCAUUUGUAACACAACUUCAACCACUUGUGAACAUGUAAUAAUAUCUCACCAAUUGACUGUUAACGAAGUCUGAUUCAAAUUGUAUUGGUGUUAAUAGACACUAGUAAAAUAUGAAACAACUUUCAACAAUGGAUCUCUAGAUCGGAAG
rnacentral:misc_RNA from 1 species